AGAAACCGCUUCACCUCAUUGCUCUAGAUGCUCUUACCAGUUAAAAUACGUCUGGCCCACCAUAAAGAAGCAGUCCUACGGUACACUCCAUCUGUGUGAUGUACUUUGCCUAAAAAAGGGUUUUGGAAGCUGAGUAAACAGAGCCUGAGCCUGCACGAAGGGGAUUAAGAAGGAAAGGCAAGAGUGGAAGGGAAAAUGAGGAUAUGACAGAGGCCAUAGUGAGUUCAAACAAAAUUUGGCCUGCAGAAGGCAGAAGAAAUCCCACUGGUGACAGGUGCCAUCUUGUGGGUCAUUCUGCCACUCUGCCUCCUGCCACUUUUUAUAACAAGAAGAGAUAAAGGAGGACUGGGCUCUUCGAGGCUUUGAAUUGGAAAAGUAAUUCAAAGGGAUGUGAACAUGGUUGGCUUCAGGGUUUGCAUGAUACUGUAAACAUCAAUGCUUUGCUUGUCAGCACUCUAUGCUAUUUAGGAAUGUUAAAUUCAGCUAUAAAUAGAGACUAUGUGCGUGUCUAGAAACAUGUAAUCAUAAAUAGUACGAAUGAUAAUCAAAUUAUUUUUACUUUAUAGUAAUGCAAAUAAAAUAUUCAUGCAUCAUGUAGGCCUAGGAAAGGUUACAGCCUGCAAACUGUGCUAAUUAAAAUGUAAUAGCACCAAGGAGUAUAUGUAAGAGUUACUAAUGUCUGUAUUUUCCCUCUUUCCUGUAAGAUCUUAUAUUUAAUGAAUACAUAAAAAUGCAAUGGUUAGCUGGUACUUUAGCUUUGUCUUUUUUCAGGAAAUAUAUUUUGAAGGACUGUGCAAAAAAUUAUCACAGCAUCUACUAAACCAAAAUCAAAUAUACUACAAUGAAACAUAUAUAAUCUUUUUUAGAGGAAAAGAUAGUCUUUCAGGUGUGAACCCAAAUUCCAUCAGGAAAUUAGAACAUCAUUUAUUCUUAAAGGUUUCGUGAUUUAAAAGAAAAAUUAAAAGAGGGUCAAACCUGAUGUCAUAUUUUAAUAUUAUUUUUACACUAAAUUUAAGGGUCUAAAUUUUCAGAAAUAGACUUUGGCUUUACAAAUUACUGAUUUAUAAUACUGUCAGACCAACAAGACAAACUUGGAAUUAGCUUUUUCCCUUGUUCGUACUCCUGUCCAUAAUAUGUUGUCCUUCCAGGGACUUGUAGGAAACAACUGCCCUGGAAUGAAUGAGCUGUAAGGAUAGCAAGCUUUAAGCUGAUGCAUACAGUUUUUUCUAAGCUUGCUGUAUAGUAAGUAUUUAUGUAGUAUUUAUGCCAGAAGUCAAAUAAGUCGAUGUAAUGUUAUCUGGGUAGGGAAAAACAGCAGUGCCAUUUGAGAGUGCCCAUCACAGCUAUAGGUGAGCUCUGUUCAGAAUUUGUAAGGAGAGAGCAAAUCCAUGAAGAAUGUCAAGUAAAUUUGACUGAUUAAUGCAUUUGAAAAGAAUUCUUAUUCCUUUGCAAGCAUUCUGUCAUUAUGAGGAAUAUGAAGAUCAUCAAAUGCAUUAUUCUGUCCCCAUGAUUUGCUUAUCCCCAGUUGUGAAUCAGUGCAUGAGACUUGACUGUGAAUGGCUGCAGUCAAUGGCCGUAUUGUGCAUGGGCAUAAUUCAUGGUGAUGGCAAGUGAACGCACGCUUAAUAUUAUUUAGUCACCUAAACUUAGGAAGUUGCAUAAAUGUGGCCGUGAUUGAAGUGUGCUCUGUGGAACCCAUCUUUGCAUGUAAAUAAAAGUAAUUAUAUAUAUGUUCAGACUUUUUAGGACAGCAAAAAAACCUCCUGGACGUGCAUUUUGCUCAGUUAUUCGUGAAAUUAAGAAAUUAUUUGUAAUAAAAUUUCCCGUCGGUUAAUUAUGACAUUUUAA